GCCACUUUAGCUCAGUUGGUAGAGCAGCUGAUUCGUAAUCAGCAGGUCUCCGGUUCGAGUCCGGAAAGUGGCUCCA
rnacentral:tRNA from 2 species